CCUCCUUGUCUCCGCCGUCGGGCCUCUUCCCCCCUGGGCGCCCGCCUGCUGGAGCAACACCGCGUGAGUGAAGACGGGUUUCGGCUCGUAAAGCUCUGUUGUUGGAGAAGCACGUGCGUGAGAGUAACUGUUCACGCAGUGACGGUAUCCAACCAGAAAGUCACGGCUAACUACGUGCCAGCAGCCGCGGUAAUACGUAGGUGGCAAGCGUUAUCCGGAUUUAUUGGGCGUAAAGCGAGCGCAGGCGGUCGCUUAGGUCUGAUGUGAAAGUCUUCGGCUUAACCGAAGAAGUGCAUCUGAAACCGGGCGACUUGAGUGCAGAAGAGGACAGUGGAACGCCAUGUGUAGCGGUGGAAUGCGUAGAUAUAUGGAAGAACACCAGUGGCGAAGGCGGCUGUCUGGUCUGCAACUGACGCUGAGGCUCGAAAGCAUGGGUAGCGAACAGGAUUAGAUACCCGGGUAGUC
rnacentral:rRNA from 1 species